rnacentral:rRNA from 1 species
AUUGAACGCUGGCGGCAGGCCUAACACAUGCAAGUCGAACGGUAGCACAGAGAGCUUGCUCUCGGGUGACGAGUGGCGGACGGGUGAGUAAUGUCUGGGAAACUGCCCGAUGGAGGGGGAUAACUACUGGAAACGGUAGCUAAUACCGCAUAACGUCGCAAGACCUAAGUGGGGGACCUUCGGGCCUCACACCAUCGGAUGUGCCCAGAUGGGAUUAGCUAGUAGGUGGGGUAAUGGCUACCCUAGGCGACGAUCCCUAGCUGGUCUGAGAGGAUGACCAGCCACACUGGAACUGAGACACGGUCCAGACUCCUACGGGAGGCAGCAGUGGGGAAUAUUGCACAAUGGGCGCAAGCCUGAUGCAGCCAUGCCGCGUGUAUGAAGAAGGCCUUCGGGUUGUAAAGUACUUUCAGCGGGGAGGAAGGCGGUGAAGUUAAUAGCUUCACCGAUUGACGUUACCCGCAGAAGAAGCACCGGCUAACUCCGUGCCAGCCGCCGCCGUAA